AAAUGAAAUGAUGGCAGUCACCUUUCAGAACUGACCUGAAAUAAAGAGAAUAUUCUUUGCUGCUCACUU